GAUGAACGCUGGCGGCGUGCUUAACACAUGCAAGUCGAACGGACAGGCCCUGCUUUUGUGUGUUGCUCGAUUGGCGAACGGGUGAGUGACACGUGAGUAUCCUGCCCUUGUCUUUGGGAUAACUUCAGGAGACUGGGUCUCAUACCGCAUAUGAUCUCCUGCUGCAUGUGGUUCGUUGGAAAGUUUCGGCGGUUGGGGAUGGACUCGCUGGUUAUCAGCUUGUUUGUGUGGUAGUGACUGACCAAGGCUUUGACGGCUAGGCGGCCUGAGAGGGUGACCGGCGACAUUGGGACUGAGAUACGGACCAGUAGCCUACGGGAGGCAGCAGUGGAGAAUAUUGCACAAUGGGCGGAAGUCUGAGGCGGCAACGCCGGGUGCGGGAUGACGGCCUUCGGGUUGUAAACCGCUUUCGCCUGUGACGAAGCGUGAGUGACGGUAAUGAGUAAAGAAGCACCGGCUAACUACGUG
rnacentral:rRNA from 1 species